UACAGAAAGGGCGAGCGUUUAUUCAUCGUUACUGGGCGUAAAGCGUAUGUAGAUGGUAUGGUUAAUUGAAUGUGAAAUGCUAGAGCUAAACUUUAGAAGGACAUUACAAUAUUAAAAUACUACGAAUAUUAUUUAUGUAAAAGGAAUUUUUGGUAUAAGGAUCGAAUCUUUCAAAAUCAAAAGGAACACCAAUAGUGAAGACAUUUUCUAAAUAAUAUUGACAUUGAGAUACGAAGGUGUGGGGAGCAAACAGG
rnacentral:rRNA from 1 species